rnacentral:tmRNA from 1 species
GGGGGUGAACGGUUUCGACAUUGGACGUUGACGCAGGGGAAGCGGGCCGAGGAAGCCGUGAUGAUCUCGUUAACCAAAAACACGGCAAAAAAACAAAUGCCAACUCUAAGCAGAUGGCCAAGGCCGACCUCCGUCUCGCUGCCUGAUCUAGUUCUCUAGAAACGCAGUGAGGCGCUGGCACAGCGCCUUUGUCGCCCCAGGAUCGCCCCCGACCUGGACGCGGCAUCGCUAGGGGGCUAAACCUCAUGAGCAGGCUACGGGCGAAUGAGGGAAACUCACGUGGCUGGGCUUGUCGGUGACCCGUCCCGGGGAUCACCGGAGCCGAGAAACUCGCACGGGACUACGCCCGUAGAAGCCUUGCUGAGCCGCUGAUGGACCCGGGUUCGAUUCCCGGCACCUCCACGC